UAGUACCUUACUACUUGGAUAACCGUGGUAAUUCUAGAGCUAAUACAUGCUAAAAAUCCCGACUUCGGAAGGGAUGUAUUUAUUAGAUUAAAAACCAAUGCCCUCUGGGCUCCUUGGUGAUUCAUAAUAACUUUUCGAAUCGCAUGGCCUUGCGCCGGCGAUGGUUCAUUCAAAUUUCUUCCCUAUCAACUUUCGAUGUUUGGGUAUUGGCCAAACAUGGUCGCAACGGGUAACGGAGGGUUAGGGCUCGACCCCGGAGAAGGAGCCUGAGAAACGGCUACUACAUCCAAGGAAGGCAGCAGGCGCGCAAAUUACCCAAUCCCGAUUCGGGGAGGUAGUGACAAUAAAUACUGAUACAGGGCUCUUUUGGGUCUUGUAAUUGGAAUGAGUACAAUUUAAAUCCCUUAACGAGGAACAAUUGGAGGGCAAGUCUGGUGCCAGCAGCCGCGGUAAUUCCAGCUCCAAUAGCGUAUAUUAAAGUUGUUGUGGUUAAAAAGCUCGUAGUUGAACCUUGGGCCUGGCUGGCCGGUCCGCCUCACCGCGUGUACUGGUCCGGCCGGGCCUUUCCCUCUGUGGAACCUCAUGCCCUUCACUGGGUGUGGCGGGGAAACAGGACUUUUACUUUGAAAAAAUUAGAGUGCUCCAGGCAGGCCUAUGCUCGAAUACAUUAGCAUGGAAUAAUGAAAUAGGACGUGUGGUUCUAUUUUGUUGGUUUCUAGGACCGCCGUAAUGAUUAAUAGGGACAGUCGGGGGCAUCAGUAUUCAAUUGUCAGAGGUGAAAUUCUUGGAUUUAUUGAAGACUAACUACUGCGAAAGCAUUUGCCAAGGAUGUUUUCAUUAAUCAGGAACGAAAGUUAGGGGAUCGAAGACGAUCAGAUACCGUCGUAGUCUUAACCAUAAACUAUGCCGACUAGGGAUCGGACGAUGUUAUUUUUUGACGCGUUCGGCACCUUACGAGAAAUCAAAGUGC
rnacentral:rRNA from 1 species